GACGAACGCUGGCGGCGUGCUUAACACAUGCCAGUCGAACGGAAAGGCCCUGCUUUUGUGGGGUGCUCGAGUGGCGAACGGGUGAGUAACACGUGAGUAACCUGCCCUUGACUUUGGGAUAACUUCAGGAAACUGGGGCUAAUACCGGAUAGGAGCUCCUGCUGCAUGGUGGGGGUUGGAAAGUUUCGGCGGUUGGGGAUGGACUCGCGGCUUAUCAGCUUGUUGGUGGGGUAGUGGCUUACCAAGGCUUUGACGGGUAGCCGGCCUGGGAGGGUGACCGGCCACAUUGGGACUGAGGUACGGCCCAGACUCCUACGGGAGGCAGCAGUGGGGAAUAUUGCACAAUGGGCGGAAGCCUGAUGCAGCAACGCCGCGUGCGGGAUGACGGCCUUCGGGUUGUAAACCGCUUUCGCCUGUGACGAAGCGUGAGUGACGGUAAUGGGUAAAGAAGCACCGGCUAACUACGUG
rnacentral:rRNA from 1 species